rnacentral:snRNA from 1 species
UUCAUAAACUGCUCUACCA